AUUGAACGCUGGCGGCAGGCCUAACACAUUCAAGUCGAACGAGUGGCGGACGGUUGAGUAAUGUCUGGGAAACUUCCUGAUGGAGGGGGAUAACUACUGGAAACGGUAGCUAAUACCGCAUACCAUCGGAUGUGCCCAGAGGGGAUUAGCUAGUAGGUGGGUUAAAGGCUCACCUAGGCGACGAUCCCUAGCUGGUCUGAGAGGAUGACCAGCCACACUGGAACUGAGACACGGUCCAGACUCUUACGGGAGGCAGCAGUGGGGAAUAUUGCACAAUGGGCGCAAGCCUGAUGCAGCCAUGCCGCGGGUAUGAAGAAGGCCUUCGGGUUGUAAAGUACUUUCAGCGGGGAGGCGUUACCCGCAGAAGAAGCACCGGCUAACUCCGUGCCAGCCGCCGCGGUAAUAC
rnacentral:rRNA from 1 species